AGAUGUGCCUAAAUACCCUUAAUGUACCAGAUCCUAUCUGAUGUUGGAAGCUAAGUCAGGUCAGCUCUGGUGAGUACUAAGAUGGGAGACCACCAUCAAAUACCAGGUGUUGUAAGCU
rnacentral:rRNA from 1 species